rnacentral:rRNA from 1 species
ACCAAAAACACCGCCUCUUGAAUAUACCACAUAAGAGGUCCCGCCUGCCCUGUGAUUAUAAAUUUAACGGCCGCGGUAUUUUGACCGUGCAAAGGUAGCGCAAUCACUUGUCUUUUAAAUGAAGACCUGUAUGAAUGGCAUAACGAGGGUUCGACUGUCUCCCUCCCCCAGUCAAUGAAAUUGAUCUUUCCGUGCAGAAGCGGGAAUAAAAGCAUAAGACGAGAAGACCCUGUGGAGCUUUAGACAACACUUAGGCCCUGUAAAGAAUCCUUAUAAACAAGAAGAAACAAAGGGGAUGCUAUUUUGCUGUCUUUGGUUGGGGCGACCGCGGGGCAACGAAAACCCCCCAUGUGGAAUAAGAAGAGACUUCUUUGAACUUAGGGUGACAGCUCGAAGUAACAGAAUAUCUGACCUAAAAUGACCCGGUUUUACCGAUCAACGGAACCAGUUACCCCAGGGAUAACAGCGCAAUCCUCUCCCAGAGCCCAUAUCGACGAGGGGGUUUACGACCUCGAUGUUGGAUCAGGACAUCCUAAUGGUGCAGCCGCUAUUAAGGGUUCGUUUGUUCAACGAUUAAAGUCCUACGU